GAUGAACGCUGGCGGCGUGCCUAAUACAUGCAAGUCGAGCGAACGGACGAGAAGCUUGCUUCUCUGAUGUUAGCGGCGGACGGGUGAGUAACACGUGGAUAACCUACCUAUAAGACUGGGAUAACUUCGGGAAACCGGAGCUAAUACCGGAUGAUAUUUUGAACCGCAUGGUUCAAAAGUGAAAGACGGUCUUGCUGUCACUUAUAGAUGGAUCCGCGCUGCAUUAGCUAGUUGGUAAGGUAACGGCUUACCAAGGCAACGAUGCAUAGCCGACCUGAGAGGGUGAUCGGCACACUGGAACUGAGACACGGUCCAGACUCCUACGGGAGGCAGCAGUAGGGAAUCUUCCGCAAUGGGCGAAAGCCUGACGGAGCAACGCCGCGUGAGUGAUGAAGGUCUUCGGAUCGUAAAACUCUGUUAUUAGGGAAGAACAUAUGUGUAAGUAACUGUGCACAUCUUGACGGUACCUAAUCAGAAAGCCACGGCUAACUACGU
rnacentral:rRNA from 1 species